rnacentral:rRNA from 1 species
UACGAAGGGGGCUAGCGUUGCUCGGAAUCACUGGGCGUAAAGGGCGCGUAGGCGGCGUUUUAAGUCGGGGUGAAAGCCUGUGGCUCAACCACAGAAUGGCCUUCGAUACUGGGACGCUUGAGUAUGGUAGAGGUUGGUGGAACUGCGAGUGUAGAGGUGAAAUUCGUAGAUAUUCGCAAGAACACCGGUGGCGAAGGCGGCCAACUGGACCAUUACUGACGCUGAGGCGCGAAGCGUGGGAGCAAACAGGAU